UACAGAGGUCUCGAGCGUUAGGCGGAAUCACUGGGCUUAAAGCGUGUGUAGGUGGAUCGUUAAGUACCUUGUGAAAUCCCACGGCUUAACCGUGGAACUGCUUGGUAUACUGGCGGUCUUGAGCCCCUUAGGGGCUACCGGAACAAAUGGUGGAGCGGUGAAAUGCGUAGAUAUCAUUUGGAACGCCAAUGGUGAAAACAGGUAGCUGGGAGUGUGCUGACACUGAGACACGAAAGCCAGGGGAGCAAACGGG
rnacentral:rRNA from 1 species